rnacentral:rRNA from 1 species
AACGCUAGCUACAGGCUUAACACAUGCAAGUCGAGGGGCAGCAUAAAAGUAGCAAUACUUUGGUGGCGACCGGCGCACGGGUGAGUGACGCGUAUGCAACCUACCUAUCAGAGGGGGAUAACCCAGCGAAAGUCGGACUAAUACCGCAUAAAACAGGGGCACCGCAUGGUGAUAUUUGUUAAAGAUUAAUUGCUGAUAGAUGGGCAUGCGUUCCAUUAGGUAGUUGGUGAGGUAAUGGCUCACCAAGCCGACGAUGGAUAGGGGAACUGAGAGGUUGGUCCCCCACACUGGUACUGAGACACGGACCAGACUCCUACGGGAGGCAGCAGUGAGGAAUACUGGUCAAUGGGCGAGAGCCUGAACCAGCCAAGUCGCGUGAAGGAAGAAGGAUCUAUGGUUCGUAAACUUCUUUUGCAGGGGAAUAAAGUGGAGGACGUGUCCUCUUUUGUAUGUACCCUGAGAAUAAGGAUCGGCUAACUCCGUGCCAGCAGCCGCGGUAAUACGGAGGAUCCGAGCGUUAUCCGGAUUUAUUGGGUUUAAAGGGUGCGUAGGUGGUUUAAUAAGUCAGCGGUGAAAGUUUGCAGCUUAACUGUAAAAAUGCCGUUGAAACUGUUAGACUUGAGUGUAAAUGAGGUAGGCGGAAUGCGUGGUGUAGCGGUGAAAUGCUUAGAUAUCACGAAGAACUCCGAUUG